GGCCUGGUGGUGUACCGGUAACACGCCCGCUAGCAGUAUAGCGACGAUCUUGUUAAAUAGGAGUCCCUUGUUCGACUCAAAGCCCGGCCG